rnacentral:lncRNA from 1 species
UGGUUUAGUUGCUGGGCGAAAUGAGCCUUUUUCAGCCCAAAGAAAAAUUCAUAACAAAUUCAAUUUGGGUCGGUUUUACACCAAAUUCGACCAGACCUUUCCUCAGUCCAUUUCAAGCCCAUUAUCAUCAAGAAUGCCAAGAGGGAGUCAGCAAGGAAGUCUUGGUCGUGCAUGGGAAAAAGAAUUCAACAAAAAUCAUUAAUUUCGGUCUUUAGUCAAAGUCUUCAUUUCUAGUUUCCAUGUCUUGUUUUUAGCACAUUCUUCUUUGGAUUUCUACAACUUGUAAUCCUAUAUAUAGGGCCUAAGAGCCACGAAAUAAUAUAAGCUUUUUCCCCUUUUAUUUGAGUUUAUCUAUUUGUUCUUUGUAGAACACUUCUUUGUUUCUUGGUGAGGUUAUCUCCGAGUAAACAGCCUCUAAUUCGUUGGACCUGUGCGUCAUAUCAGGCAACGUUUAGAAAUCCUUCUUUUGGUGGACUUGUGAGUCAUAUCAAGCACCAACUGAAGUCUGGUAGUAUCAUUGGGCCAUCCGCAACCCAUUGUGUCACCGUUCAAUCCAUCAGUUCUCCCUUUUGGCGAGUUCAUAUCCCUUUAGUCCGGUCGAGUGAUCCUUCCCUAUUUUAGGGCGUAUCAAGUGGUAUCAGAGCCACUCAACCGGUACUAUCUAUCCAUCUUUCUCAUCUUUCAUUUCUAAACACUUCUUCUUCAUCUUUCUAUCUCAAAUCCGGGCCACUACCUUACCUAUCGCCAUUCUUCUAUAAAAAAAAAAAAGAGAAAAGAAAAGAAAAAAAAAAUAAUCUAUCAAAAAAAAAGAGAAAAGAAAACAAAAAGUUUGAUUUAUUUGGCUAGGUGGUGGAAGAGAAAUCCUGCUGGCUGAGGAGAAAUCCAGCCUUGGAGUGGUUAAUACGGAUUUCAAAACCAAUUCUCUUAUCUUUCUAUCUUGUGUUCAUCUCUUGCUUGCUUGGAGAAAUCCAUUGGGUUAUUUGAUUUGUUCUCUUAGAACUUUGAGAGGAAACUCUUGAGUGACCACUAAAAUCUGAGAGAAAUACUUGUGUGGGUGAAAUCAAACACUUGAGAGUGUGAGGAUUAUUUUUAUCUGUUAACCUUUUGUGUUGAGAAUUUUCAGGUUAAGAUCUUUGAAGCUGAUCAAAGAAAGCUUUUCAGUCAGUUUGAAGCCCAACAGUUUUGUGACAACCUUGUGGAGAGUGUGGUGAAAGCCCUCAAGGAUGUCAGCAAGAUCCAAAAGAAGAGCACAACCACACGUGCAUCUGUAGCUAAGCCUUCCUUAUUCAUCAAUGAAAAACCCAAAGGUAAACCUGAAAACAACCUUGCAGAUCAAAAAGAUUUUUCAGAUUCUUUACCAAUUUUUGAUGAGUAUGAUGAAGAGACGAUUGAAAGUUUGAUCAUUUGUGAGGAUGAAUGUGAUCUUCCAUCUCCAAAAUCUGAUUUUAUGUUUGAUGAUGAAGAGACUAAUGGACUAACCUGUUUUGAACCGGAGCAUCCGAGUAGUCUUGUUCUAUUUUCACCGGAUUUUAAGGAAGAACCAUUCGACUACUCACAUCAAGGACUGCUUCUUGGCACCAAGAGACCCAUGGACGAUGAUCUAGGUCCCAUAUUUGAUGAGGAAGGCGAACCUGGUCCAACCUUUGAAGCGGAAGCACCAAGCGUAACAUCCAUCAUCAUGGAGAACCAACUUUGCUUUGAUCCCGGCACAGCUCCUACACCUUUGUUCAAAGAGCACUGUAAGGAACUUUGUAUCAUCAGUUCUGUGCCUGAUCUGUUUGAUAAAGUCAGUUCCAAUGACAUAAAACUUUCUGGUCUUGAUCAUCUUGAAAAGUCAUUUGAGCUUGAUUUGCAACAACUAGUUUUCUGCUCUAGAAAAUCGUUUGAUUCAUUUGUCUUCAAAGAAAAUAGCUUUAGUCUGAGAUCUUAUGGACAUGAACUGAUCACUGGAAUUUUGUUUGCAUCCUCAUAUGCUUUGGAAGAUUUUAUGGUUAGCACAUUGCUGGAACAGAAUUCACAUAAAGCUGAAACCGAUUUUUGUGGUGAUUCUGUUUUGAAACCUGUCCAUUCUUAUUCUGAAUCUGAUCUUGAACUAAAACUUUUGUGUUCUGAAUCUGAUCAAGUUAGGCACGUUUUGGAAAUGUUCUAUGGUAGUUCAUGCCUCGAAAACAUUCUGAUUUACAACACCUUCUUUGAUAAACAUGCUGAGCCUUGGAUAAGAAAUUCUCAAUUUGAACUUAAUCUUUUGUGUUCUAAAUCUGAGAAACUUGCGCAUGAUUUGAAUUUGUUCUUUAGGAACUGUGCUAUCACGUGCCCUGACACCAUUCUGGUGUACAAGACUUACUUUGAUAGGCUUCAUGAUGAUCUGAAACGUGUGCUACAUGUUCUAGGGAAAGAAACUUUGGUUUAUGAUCUGAACAAGUACUUGUCUUGUACAUAUGAUCCUGGUAUUUUAAUGUUUGUUUUGAGUGUCCAGGAUAAACAGGAUCAGUCUCCAAGAGGUGUCAGGAACAGAAGCAGAGAUCGUGCUUAUCAGUUUAAGACUUGGAGAUGCAUGUACUCGAGGAAACCAACUUCAAAACUCCAAGGAAGUUUCUUUCCAAAAUUUUCCUUCACUAAAUUUUACAUGAUUUUUAAAUUCUUUUUGUCUGAUUCAUUUCCUUUUGAUACAGGUAAAAUGGAUUUGAGGUCAAAUCCUUUUCAAGAGGGAGGGAAUGAUGCGCCUCGGAUCAUAGACCCGGGCCAGGAUGAUGCGACCAUGGCUGAGCCAGAUGAUUCUUCAACAAAAGACAAACCAGGAUGGAUUAAUGGUGAGGAUACUGAUCUAAAACCAGCUGAUGAGACUGAGGACGAGCUGGAACCAGCUGAAGAGAGUAUGCUUGAGCUGAAACCAGCUGAAGUGAUAGUAGAUGAGCUAGAUGAGCUGAGUGAGCUAAGUGAUACUAGCUUGGAGCUGAAUGAGCUAAGUGACACUGAAGAUGGAGCUGGUUUAGUUGCUGGGCGAAAUGAGCAUUUUUCAGCCCAAAGAAAAAUUCAUAACAAAUUCAAUUUGGGUCGGUUUUACACCAAAUUCGACCAGACCUUUCCUCAGUCCAUUUCAAGCCCAUUCUCAUCAAGAAUGCCAAGAGGGAGUCAGCAAGGAAGUCUUGGUCGUGCAUGGGAAAAAGAAUUCAACAAAAAUCAUUAAUUUCGGUCUUUAGUCAAAGUCUUCAUUUCUAGUUUCUAUGUCUUGUUUUUAGCACAUUCUUCUUUGGAUUUCUACAACUUGUAAUCCUAUAUAUAGGGCCUAAGAACCACGAAG